rnacentral:rRNA from 1 species
GAUGAACGCUAGCUACAGGCUUAACACAUGCAAGUCGAGGGGCAGCAUGGUCUUAGCUUGCUAAGGCCGAUGGCGACCGGCGCACGGGUGAGUAACACGUAUCCAACCUGCCGUCUACUCUUGGACAGCCUUCUGAAAGGAAGAUUAAUACAAGAUGGCAUCAUGAGUCCGCAUGUUCACAUGAUUAAAGGUAUUCCGGUAGACGAUGGGGAUGCGUUCCAUUAGAUAGUAGGCGGGGUAACGGCCCACCUAGUCUUCGAUGGAUAGGGGUUCUGAGAGGAAGGUCCCCCACAUUGGAACUGAGACACGGUCCAAACUCCUACGGGAGGCAGCAGUGAGGAAUAUUGGUCAAUGGGCGAGAGCCUGAACCAGCCAAGUAGCGUGAAGGAUGACUGCCCUAUGGGUUGUAAACUUCUUUUAUAAAGGAAUAAAGUCGGGUAUGCAUACCCGUUUGCAUGUACUUUAUGAAUAAGGAUCGGCUAACUCCGUGCCAGCAGCCGCGGUAAUACGGAGGAUCCGAGCGUUAUCCGGAUUUAUUGGGUUUAAAGGGAGCGUAGAUGGAUGUUUAAGUCAGUUGUGAAAGUUUGCGGCUCAACCGUAAAAUUGCAGUUGAUACUGGAUAUCUUGAGUGCAGUUGAGGCAGGCGGAAUUCGUGGUGUAGCGGUGAAAUGCUUAGAUAUCACGAAGAACUCCGAUUGCGAAGGCAGCCUGCUAAGCUGCAACUGACAUUGAGGCUCGAAAGUGUGGGUAUCAAACAGGAUUAGAUACCCUGGUAGUCCACACGGUAAACGAUGAAUACUCGCUGUUUGCGAUAUACAGCAAGCGGCCAAGCGAAAGCGUUAAGUAUUCCACCUGGGGAGUACGCCGGCAACGGUGAAACUCAAAGGAAUUGACGGGGGCCCGCACAAGCGGAGGAACAUGUGGUUUAAUUCGAUGAUACGCGAGGAACCUUACCCGGGCUUAAAUUGCAGAUGAAUUACGGUGAAAGCCGUAAGCCGCAAGGCAUCUGUGAAGGUGCUGCAUGGUUGUCGUCAGCUCGUGCCGUGAGGUGUCGGCUUAAGUGCCAUAACGAGCGCAACCCUUGUUGUCAGUUACUAACAGGUUCCGCUGAGGACUCUGACAAGACUGCCAUCGUAAGAUGUGAGGAAGGUGGGGAUGACGUCAAAUCAGCACGGCCCUUACGUCCGGGGCUACACACGUGUUGCAAUGGGGGGUACAGAGGGCCGCUACCACGCGAGUGGAUGCCAAUCCCAAAAACCUCUCUCAGUUCGGACUGGAGUCUGCAACCCGACUCCACGAAGCUGGAUUCGCUAGUAAUCGCGCAUCAGCCACGGCGCGGUGAAUACGUUCCCGGGCCU